rnacentral:rRNA from 1 species
GUGGGGAAUCUUGCGCAAUGGGCGAAAGCCUGACGCAGCCAUGCCGCGUGUGUGAAGAAGGUCUUCGGAUUGUAAAGCACUUUAAGUUGGGAGGAAGGGCAGUAAGUUAAUACCUUGCUGUUUUGACGUUACCGACAGAAUAAGCACCGGCUAACUUCGUGCCAGCAGCCGCGGUAAUACGAAGGGUGCAAGCGUUAAUCGGAAUUACUGGGCGUCACGGGCGCGUAGGCGGACAGCUUAGUCAGAGGUGAAACCCCAGGGCUCAACCUAUGUAUUGCCUUUGAUGCUGGCUCUCUUGAGUUUGGGAGAGAUGAGUGGAACUCCGAGUGUAGAGGUGACAUUCGUAAAUAUUCGGAAGAACACCAGUGGCGAAGGCGACUCACUGGCCCAAUACUGACGCUGAGGCGCGAAAGCGUGGGGAGCAAACAGGAUUAGAAACCCUGGUAGUCC